UACGAAGGGGGCUAGCGUUGUUCGGAAUUACUGGGCGUAAAGCGCGCGCAGGCGGUCCUUCAAGUCAGAGGUGAAAGCCCAGAGCUCAACUCUGGAACGGCCUUUGAAACUAGAGGACUUGGGUACGGGAGAGGUGAGUGGAAUUCCGAGUGUAGAGGUGAAAUUCGUAGAUAUUCGGAAGAACACCAGUGGCGAAGGCGGCUCUCUGGUACGUGACUGACGCUGAGACGCGAAAGCGUGGGGAGCGAACAGG
rnacentral:rRNA from 1 species